AGAGUUUGAUCCUGGCUCAGGAUGAACGCUGGCGGCGUGCCUAACACAUGCAAGUCGAACGAAGCACUUUUACUCGAUUCUUCGGAUGAUGGUAAUAGUGACUGAGUGGCGGACGGGUGAGUAACGCGUGGGUAACCUGCCUCAUACAGGGGGAUAACAGUUAGAAAUGACUGCUAAUACCGCAUAAGACCACGGAGUCGCAUGACUCAGUGGGAAAAACUCCGGUGGUAUGAGAUGGACCCGCGUCUGAUUAGGUAGUUGGCGGGGUAACGGCCUACCAAGCCGACGAUCAGUAGCCGACCUGAGAGGGUGACCGGCCACAUUGGGACUGAGACACGGCCCAAACUCCUACGGGAGGCAGCAGUGGGGAAUAUUGCACAAUGGGGGAAACCCUGAUGCAGCGACGCCGCGUGAGCGAAGAAGUAUUUCGGUAUGUAAAGCUCUAUCAGCAGGGAAGAAAAUGACGGUACCUGACUAAGAAGCACCGGCUAAAUACGUGCCAGCAGCCGCGGUAAUACGUAUGGUGCAAGCGUUAUCCGGAUUUACUGGGUGUAAAGGGAGCGUAGACGGCUGUGUAAGUCUGAGGUGAAAGCCCGGGGCUCAACCCCGGGACUGCUUUGGAAACUAUGCAGCUAGAGUGUCGGAGAGGUAAGUGGAAUUCCCAGUGUAGCGGUGAAAUGCGUAGAUAUUGGGAGGAACACCAGUGGCGAAGGCGGCUUACUGGACGAUGACUGACGUUGAGGCUCGAAAGCGUGGGGAGCAAACAGGAUUAGAUACCCUGGCAGUCCACGCCGUAAACGAUGACUACUAGGUGUUGGGUGUCACAGACAUUCGGUGCCGCAGCAAACGC
rnacentral:rRNA from 1 species